CAGGAAAACGGGAGGGGCGGAUAAAGGAUCGGGAAAGAGGCGGCCGCCCCCAGCACUGAGGUCACCACCCGGCAGAUACGGCACGGCACGGCACGGCACGGCGGCUCUGCGGACCCGGCACCAUGGCAGCGCAGGAGAAGGACGGGGAAGCCCAGAAGCUGCGGUUCGGACAGUGGCUGCUGAACGCCAUCAACAGCGGGAGCUACCGGGGACUGCGCUGGAUCGACUCUGCCCACACCAUCUUCCGUGUCCCCUGGAAGCACAACGCCAGGAAGGACAUCACCAGCAGCGACCUGGAGGUCUUCAAGGGCUGGGCAAAGGUCAGUGGGCGGUAUGAAGAAGGCUCUGAGGACCCGGCCAAGUGGAAGACCAACUUCCGCUGUGCCCUGAGCAGCACCCACUUGUUCAAGCUGGAACAGGACCAUUCCAAGCGUGGUGAUGACCCCCACAAGGUCUUCUCCAUUGUCUCAGGUGAGCCUCGCCCCAUGGAGGGGCUGUGUUGGAUGGGGUGGGCAAUCUCAGGGCCUCCCAUCCCUGGUGCUCUCCUUUCAGCCACCCUCCAGGACAGCAAGGACGGAGAUUCCAACAUCCCCAACCCUGUGGUGGACCAGAAGGCAGCACAACAACAGCUGCAGCUGGAGCUCCACCCCCAAGACAUGGCCUCAGCCAUUGCUGUCCCGGGAAGCACUGAGCCCAUAGAGCUCUCGAUUCUGGAGGAGCUGCUGCAGCAGUGUGACAUCUCUCCCCGUGACCUUGACUCGCUGGCCCCAUCCUGGGUGCCCGCAGGGGACACUCCCCACCAGGACAUUGUGCUCCAGCCUCGCCAGGACACCCUGCUCCAGCCUUACACAGACACCAGCCAGAACAGCUGCUUCCCUCCCACGACAUUUCCACAGUGGGUGCCCACGGUGGAGCAACCCACCUUGGACACCUACCAACCAAUGGGCCUCAUGCCACCAGAGGAGACAGGGGCCAUGCCACCGCCGUGCCACCUGAUGGAGGGCACGGUCCCCAUGCAGUAUGCAGUGGAGGCGACAGUGUUUGUGCCCACCGCCAGCCCCGUGCCACAGCCACAGCUGCUGGUGGAUAACACAGAUGACAUCAUGUCCAUCCUGGAUGUCACCAUCUACUACCGGGGGAAGGAGCUCCACCGGGAGGUGGUGAAGGGCAGCCGCUGCCUGCUGACGUACCAGCGCCCCAGCCAGCCGUGGCCCUGGCACGUGGUGCACUUCCCCAGUCCCGCCGGCCUGCCCGACCGCAAGCAGCGGCGCAUCACCGAGGAGCUGCUGGGCAUCGCGGGGCUGCAGCUGGAGCUACGCGCCCCCAAGGUCUUUGCCACCCGCCGGGAGAAGUGCAAGGUGUUCUGGGCCUUGUCCCGGCAGCUCGAGGGGGGCGAGGAGCCCCCACCCAACCUGCUCUGCCGGGACCAGGAAACGCCCAUCUUUGACUUCAAUGAGUUUUGCAUAGAGCUGAGGGACUUCCGCAACGGCCAAAGGCGGCGAUCCCCUGACUUCACCAUCUACCUCUGCUUUGGGCAGGCCUUCUCCAACGCCAAGCCUAAGGAGUCCAAGCUCAUCCUGGUCAAGCUGGUGCCCAAGUUCUGUGAGUACUGGUACGAGCAGGUGCUGCAGGAGGGAGCCUCCUCCUUGGACAGCCGCACCAUCAGCCUGCAGCUCUCCAACUCCUUCGACCUCAUGGAGCUCAUCGAGCAGUACAACAUGCAGCUGGGCUGAGCCCUCCUGCCCCGCUCCCCAUGGCCCUGGCACGGGCAGCAGGACCACUGGGCAUGCCAGGCUCUGCAAACCAGCACCCCCCAACCUGAGGACGACUUCAUGACCAGUCCUGGAGCUCACACAUUCCUUUUCCUCUCUGUCAGCUUCUAGUGGGUGUUUCUGUGGAGUGUGAAGCUGACCAGGCUCACCAGCAUUGCAGUAGUGACCACUGGGUCCCAGCCCUGCCGGGAGGGCACAGUGUGUACGUACGUGGCACCUGUGCCAUCCAUGUCUGGCCAGAGGAACUCUGCGGGGCAGCCGGACGUUCGGCAGGGAGACUUCACACACACGUGCAGCCCCGGCCACUCCUCAGCGAGCUUCUGGGUGAUGAGCACAACUGCCACGAGGAAAUCCCAGGCAAACUGGAACCCUUCCAGGCAAAAAGAGAAUGUCUCUUUCUUACAGCCUCCAGCCACAGCAGCCCAGGACAUUCUGUGGUGACCCACACAGCCCACAGCCUCAACUGUCAGACUGGCUCCAUCCCCAGUUAACCAAACAUCCAUAAGGAAUUUAAUGAUACAUUGGAAGAGCUCCCCAACUUGGGUGGCCCCUUUUGCUUAUCACUAGAAGAUCCAGCCUUAGACUGUUCUCUGCUGGGGCCUUCUGGGGAAGGACAACCCAUUUGCUCCAGGAUGAGAAUGAAAACUUGGCAUUCCACUUUCAUGUGAUAUCUCUAGAAGAGUCCUGAACAAAAUUCCAUGGAUAAAUGGGAAACCUUUAAGUGGAUUGCUGGUGGACCCAGGCCAGGUUAGGGCAUGUGGCAGAGGCCUCCUGGGACACUUCCCAUAGGGUUGGAGGUGGCAGGAACAGAGCUAAGGAGACACAUGGGGUUGGGAGUCAUGAAAUACGGAUCAGGGAUCUUACCUGUCCUUUCUGAUGGCUUUCUGCUGCGGAGCUCCAGGUAGCUGUAGGCCCUCUGGUUAUUCUCUUUGAUCAGCAGAGGUUUGCCAUUGCAUACAAGCAGGCAGGUCACCUUGGCCACCCAGUGUGUGGAAUAGAAGGAGCAAGCUUUCACCAGGAACCUACAAGGAAAUUGCCCAUGGCUUUUAUCACUUUUCUCCUAGCUUAUCCCUAAUGCUGGAAGAACUGGAGGGACUUGAAAAUAUGAACCAAGUUUCAGUAAGAACAGACACCAAGUGAGGACCUUCCCCUACUGAAAGCUCAAGCAGCAAAAACAGCCUCUUAAACCAAGAGAUUCUUCCAGAGUUGGCCAUCUUGUCCUGGUUUUGUCUGGGAUGGAGUUAAUUUUCUUCCUAACAGCCGGUACAGUGCCAUGCUUUGGAUUUAGGACAAGAAUUAUGUGGAUAACACACUGAUGUUUUAGUUGCUGCUGAGCAGGGCUUACAUCAAAUCAAGGGUUUUUAGGUCCUCAGGCUGCCCUGCCAGCGAGGGGGCUGGGAGGGGACAGCCAGGACAGCUGACCCCAAAUGACCAAAGGGAUAUCCCAUAUGGAGUGGCAUCACGCUCAGCAUAUAAACCUGGGGGAGAGCUGGCUGGGGGACCAUUGCUUGGGAACAGGCUGGGCAUGAGUUGGUUAGUGCUGAGCAAUUGUUUUUUAUUUGUAUCACCUGUUCUUCUUGGGUUUGAUUUCUCUCUUUGCUGAUUUCCUUUUCAUUACAAUAAUAUUAUCGCUAUUACUGUUAUUAUAAUAAUUUAUUUCAACUAUUAAACUGUCUUUAUCUCAA